UAUAUAUUAAUAUUUGUGGGUUUUUAAUUUAUUCUUAAUGGAUUAAUUAAUUAUUAUUAAGUAGUUUAUAGUUUUAAUUUUCAAAUUGGUUUGGAGUUAGUUAAUUUUUCAAGAUCGAUUAAUAUUGUGCCAGCAAUCGCGGUUAUACAAUAGAUCUAAGUUAAUUUUAUUGGUUAUAGAUUAUAUUUUAAUAUUUAAUUCAAUUGUUUUUAUUUUAAGUGAAAUUUAUAUUUCUUUUUUAUGAAUUAUGGUUUAUUAUUAUCUAAUAUCUAUAUUAUAAACUAGGAUUAGAUACCCUAUUAUUUUAGUUGUUAAUUUUAUCCUUAUUAUUAAUAGUUAUGUUCUUUAAAUUAAAAGAAUUUGGCGGUAAUUUAAUCUUUCUAGAGGAACCUGUUGUUUAAUUGAUAUUCCACGUUGAAUUCUACUUUUAUUUUUUGCUUGUAUACCUCCAUUAUUGAAUACUUUAUUAGAAUGUUUUCUUUAUCCUUUAUUUAGUUUGAUAUUAGGUCAAGGUGCAGCAAUAUAUGAGGUAUUAAUGGGUUACAAUUAUUUUAAUAUUGGAUUUAUUUAAUGGAAUUUUUUUAUGAAAUUGGAUUUAGUUGUAAUUUAUAUUUAUUUAUUAUUUUUGAUUUUAGUUCUAAUUUAUGUACAUAUCGCCCGUCACUCUCAAUCUUUUGGGAUAAGUCGUAACAAAGUAGGCUUACUGGAAAGUUAGCCUGGAAAGAAU
rnacentral:ncRNA from 1 species